GUACACGCUGUGACUAGCAUAUCAAUAAGCGGAGGAAAAGAAACUAACAAGGAUUCCCCUAGUAACGGCGAGUGAAGCGGGAAGAGCUCAAAUUUGAAAUCUUAAAGGGUUUCCCUUUACGAAUUGUAGUUUAAAGAAGUGUUUUCUGUUGAGGUUUUGGUAAAAGUUCUUUGGAAUAGGACAUCAUAGAGGGUGAGAAUCCCGUAUUUGACCUUUACUUUCAACUUUGUGAUACACUUUCAAAGAGUCGGAUUGUUUGGGAAUGCAGUCCAAAAUGGGUGGUAAAUUUCAUCUAAAGCUAAAUAUUGGCGAGAGACCGAUAGCGAACAAGUACCGUGAGGAAAGAUGAAAAGAACUUUGAAAAGAGAGUUAAACAGUACGUGAAAUUGUCAAAUGGGAAGCGUUUGACACCAGUGUUGUUUUUCUGAAAAUCAAUUAAAGAACUGUUUAUGCUAAGUUGUUCAGACUUUAUCAGCUAACUGUUUAGUUUUGAGCUUUUCUUUAAUGCACUUUUCAGUUAACAAGUCAACAUCAAUUUCUUUUGCUGUAAAAAAGCUUGAGGAAGGUGGCUUGAGAUUCGUCUUAAGUGUUUAUAGCCUCUUGCCUAUGCAGUCGGAGAGAUUGAGGUCUGCAGCGUAGAUCCUUCGGGGCUAAAUGCAUUUGUGCUAAGUUAUAGCAUUUUAUAGACAACUUGUUGACUAUGAUUUGUCUUGUAGCUUACUCGCUUAUGUUAUUUUACCUACGCUUAGGAUGUUGACAGCAGUAUAGACUGU
rnacentral:rRNA from 1 species